UCGCCUGUUUAUCAAAAACAUAGCCUUUAGCAAUAAAAGUAUUAAAGGUCCCGCCUGCCCAGUGAAAGUAUUUCAACGGCCGCGGUAUUCUAACCGUGCAAAGGUAGCGUAAUCACUUGUCCUCUAAAUAGGGACCAGUAUGAAUGGCUAAAUGAGGACAAACCUGUCUCCUACAACUAAUCAGUGAAACUGAUCUCCCAGUACAAAAGCUGGCAUACACCCAUAAGACGAGAAGACCCUGUGGAGCUUUAAACCACCCACUCCUAAUAAAAUUAUCUAGUACAAGGUUUUGAGUUGGGGCGACUUCGGAACAAAACAAAACUUCCGAGCACAGAACCACCAGUUCUAAUCAAGGCCAACAAGCCAAGGCAUAAGCCGACCCAGUCAUACUGACCAACGAACCAAGUUACCCCAGGGAUAACAGCGCCAUCUUCUUCAAGAGUCCCUAUCGACAAGAAGGUUUACGACCUCGAUGUUGGAUCAGGACACCCAAAUGGUGCAGCCGCUAUUAAAGGUUCGUUUGUUCAACGAUUAACAGUCCUACGUGAUCUGAGUUCAGACCGGA
rnacentral:rRNA from 1 species